rnacentral:rRNA from 1 species
UACAGAGGGGGCAAGCGUUGUUCGGAAUUACUGGGCGUAAAGGGCGCGUAGGCGGCCUGUUAAGUCGGACGUGAAAUCCCUCGGCUCAACCGGGGAACUGCGUCUGAUACUGGCGGGCUUGAAUUCGGGAGAGGGAUGUGGAAUUCCAGGUGUAGCGGUGAAAUGCGUAGAUAUCUGGAGGAACACCGGUGGCGAAGGCGGCGUUCUGGACUGCAACUGACACUGAGGAACGAAAGCCAGGGGAGCAAACGGG